rnacentral:rRNA from 1 species
ACUCAAAUGAAUAGACGGGGGCUCACACCAGCGGUGGAGCAUGUGGCUUAAUUCGAGGCUACGCGAAGAACCUUAUCCCAGACUUGACAUGCACGGAUUAGCCUUAGGAAACUAAGGUGACACCCGCAAGGGUGGAACGUGCACAGGUGCUGCAUGGCUGUCGUCAGCUCGUGUUGUGAGAUGUCGGGUUAAGUCCCUUAACGAGCGAAACCCUUGUCCUUAGUUACCAGCGGGUCAUGCCGGGGACUCUAAGGAGACUGCCGGUGUUAAGCCGGAGGAAGGUGGGGAUGACGUCAAGUCCUCAUGGCCUUUAUGUUUGGGGCUGCACACGUGCUACAAUGGGGGGUACAAAGGGAUGCAAGCGUGCAAGCGCAAGCCAAUCCCAAAAAGCCCCUCCCAGUUCGGAUUGCGGGCUGCAACCCGCCCGCAUGAAGUUGGAAUCGCUAGUAAUCGCAGGUCAGCCAUACUGCGGUGAAUGUGUUCCUGAGCCUUGUACACACCGCCCGU